UCUAGUGAGACUGCCGGUGACAAACCGGAGAAGGUGGGGAUGACGUCAAGUCCUCAUGGCCCUUAUGGGUAGGGCUUCACAUGUCAUACAAUGGUCGGUACAGAGGGUUGCCAAGCCGCGAGGUGGAGCCAAUCCCUUAAAGCCGAUCGUAGUCCGGAUCGUAGUCUGCAACUCGACUACGUGAAGUCGGAAUCGCUAGUAAUCGCAGAUCAGCAUGCUGCGGUGAAUACGUUCCCGGGUCUU
rnacentral:rRNA from 1 species